rnacentral:lncRNA from 1 species
AGGAAGCAGAUUUAAAUUUCAACAGUGACAACACAGGCCUGACACAAAUGACAACUGUCGAAUUCUACAAGAUUUCCUUAAUUGGGCCUAAAAAGAGCAGCAGACAAGGUCCCUUUCUGACCUGAGGUUUGACAACUUCCUUCUCCCUUACUGGUGACCCUAUUCCAAGACAUACCAGCAGCCGUGAACAGAAGACAGGAGACCCUUGGUCAGUGGAUAAAAUUACAGUUGUGAGUAAAGACUUUUGAAAAAUAAGAACAGGAUCACAGUCUAAUGGUGUGGAGUCUACAGUCUUUGACCUUGCCUGACUAAGUCAACCACAUUUAUGCAAACUUGAGG